rnacentral:rRNA from 1 species
UGGGGAAUAUUGCACAAUGGAGGGAACUCUGAUGCAGCGACGCCGCGUGAACGAAGAAGGCUUUCGAGUCGUAAAGUUCUUUUAUAUGGGAAGAUAAUGACGGUACCAUAAGAAAAAGCCCCGCCUAACUACGUGCCAGCAGCCGCGGUAAUACGUAGGGGGCUAGCGUUGUCCGGAAUCACUGGGCGUAAAGGGUUCGCAGGCGGAAAUGCAAGUCAGGUGUAAAAGGCAGUAGCUUAACUACUGUAAGCAUUUGAAACUGCAUAUCUUGAGAAGAGUAGAGGUACGUGGAAUUUUUAGUGUAGCGGUGAAAUGCGUAGAUAUUAAAAAGAAUACCGGUGGCGAAGGCGACUUACUGGGCUCAUUCUGACGCUGAGGAACGAAAGCGUGGGUAGCAAACAGG